CAUCUUUCUUGGUGGAUCGAGCCCCUCUCAGCUUUUCUCUUUGACCUAUUCAUUGGAGGGGGUUGCGGAUCAUCUCCAGUUGAGGUGGAUCGCGCGGAUCGAUUGAGAGGAAGCAGAGGAUCAAUGUGCUGUGGAAUUGCCCUGUUGCUGGUCAUUAUAAACUUCCCUUCAUGAAGCUGUGAAGGUCUUGGGUGAGAAGGAAUGGAAGGAGUUGUGGUGUGGAUGGCAUUGGCUAUUAACA